AUUAACGGUGGAAACUGUUUCCCAUUAAUGUGUAAUCAAGAAGCAGGCAGGCCAUUUACUUUGAAAAAUAAAAUAAGAAACCCGCCUCCCUCCCUAUGUGACCUUCCUGACUGCUCCCCACCCCCCAUCGCCAACCUGUUUGUCCAACUUAGCGUCUCAAAGAAUCAAUUCCCUUUUGGUCCCAGAACCAGGAACAAAUCAAGAAGAGCUGGGUGGAUUUUUUUUUUUUUCCGUCGUGAGUUAAAAUAUUCCAAAAGCUUCAGGCUUCCAUUACAGUUGACCUUUCAGGCGUGCUGCAGCAAAAAAAGUUAAUUCACUUCGCACAUGUGGGGGAGCAACAGGUGGUAGCCAACCACGGGGGCUGCUGGCAUUCCUCCGUGUGCAAACCCCCGGCCCCCGGUACUCUGGGAUUUACACUACCUCCCCCAGGCCCUGAGUGACAAGCUAAUCGGUGCGCGGGGAAGCGCUGAGCUAUUGAUUCCGCUGUAACAGAACACCACCCCGUCGAUGAAACUGCAAUGAAAUGCUUCAGCAGCGAAGAAAGGGAGGCAUUGGACUGUUGAACAACUGGAGGAAAUUUGCUGCUGUCAUGACUGGAGUCACCAUGAACAUUCCUGUACAAGUCUUUGUGUGCAAUAUGUUGCCAUUUCUCCUGGAAAAAUGUCUAGGAGUGAAAUUGCAGAGUCAUAUGGUUUUUAUAUGCUAUUAAAAACACAAAGCGCAUACACCAAGCUCCAUGGGACGUAACACAAGCGGAACCUGAAAUCAAGGCGAAAAACCAACAGUGACGAAUGUUUGCAAAAGCUCUCAGCAAAGAAAAUGAUUCAUUAAUUUUCCAACCAACAAUCUCUAGUUGCUUCCUUACUGCUUAGCAGCAAACUCCUAGAGGCCAGCGUGAACGAAAAAUACUGCAAACCAUGUCAGUAAACAAGGAACGCUGAAGCCAUCAAGUCAUCAACGGCUGCCCCCACCCCCUAGUGAAGACAAGCCUGCAGCCCGGCCUCUUCAGCCACUCACCA